rnacentral:lncRNA from 1 species
UGGGAUUAUAGAAUGAAAUUUAGAAAUGAAUAUUUUAUUAUUGCUAAAUAGGACCUAUAAACCAGUUUAAAAUCUUCAAACUAGAUGAAAAACCUGUAAAUCGAGUGAAAACCAAAUUAACCAUUUAGUUGGACCGAACCCAGUUCAAAUCGAAUUGAAUUACCCUAGAAUGAGUUAGACGCUUCUUUUUCCUCUUUUUCUUUCUUCUUCCUUGGUCUAGCAACAACCCAGCAGCUUCCUCUCUCUCUCUCUCUUUGAAUUCUUCCUCCCACUCUCUCUCCCUUCCCUACCUAUUUCAGCGUCGCGAGUAAGAGGAGCUGCGAUUUCAAUCGACAGCGUGCUUCUCUCCCUCCUUCUCGUUUUCUGGCAACUCCAGAGCAAAGAAAGGGUACCAAUCGACUUCCCUCCUCCUAGCGAACAAAUCCCCCUCAAGAGAUUCAAGCUUUCGCUGACGUUUUGGAGAGCGGCCAUUAAUGGUGAGGUUAGGGUGAAUGUCGACCUCUCUUGGGCUAAACAGGCCAUGUACUGAGCAAACCGCCAUUGAAAAUGUACUCCUGAGUAAAAUUCGAGCAAAAUGAAGGGCGUUCAACUCUGAGCAGCCGUGAUUUUUCAAUCACCAUAGAGGGCAGCACUGGCGACCGGCGAUGAGUCUCUAGCGAGACCCCGAGAGGCAGAAAUAUGGGAUUAAUACACUAAACCCGAAUCUGAAUUCGAUUUUUAAUCGUUACAAUUUAAGAUUCAGUUUAUUAAAUUCAAUGUAAAUUUUAAAUUUAGAAAUUAUUGUUAUUGGGAUAAAUUAGUUGUGAUUAAAAUAAUUAAGGAAUAAGAAUAAAGCAAUAAAUUAAAGCGAGUUAUAAUUGCUACCAUAAAAAAAUAAUAAAUUGAGAACUUUGAUAAAUAUGGAUUUAAAGUAUGAACUUUAAAUAAAUUAAGCAAAGCAUGUAUUAAA